rnacentral:rRNA from 1 species
CUACGGGAGGCUGCAGUGGGGAAUAUUGGACAAUGGGGGAAACCCUGAUCCAGCAAUGCCGCGUGUGUGAAGAAGGCCUGCGGGUUGUAAAGCACUUUCGGUUGGGAGGACUGCUUCUAGCACUAAUAUUGUUGGAAGUUGACGUUACCUUCGGAAGAAGCACCGGCUAACUCCGUGCCAGCAGCCGCGUUAAUACGGAGGGUGCAAGCGUUAAUCGGAAUUACUGGGCGUAAAGCGCGCGUAGGCGGCUAGAUCAGUCGGGUGUGAAAGCCCCGGGCUUAACCUGGGAACUGCAUCCGAUACUGUCUAGCUUGAGUACAGGAGAGGAGAGUGGAAUUCCACAUGUAGCGGUGAAAUGCGUAGAUAUGUGGAGGGACACCAAUGGCGAAGGCAGCUCUCUGGCCUGAUACUGACGCUGAGGUGCGAAAGCGUGGGGAGCAAACAGGAUUAGAUACCCUUGUAGUC